rnacentral:lncRNA from 1 species
GCAGAAUGCAGAUGGAGCCAGCGGGGAGAGGAGUGGACAUGAGAGAAAGAUCCCAUAGCCCUCUUGGUCUUGGUUGGAACAGGAGGAAAAUGAAAACUGGACAUCCAUCUUAGGACUUAAUCCUACGGAGACCACAAGCUGGAAGAGGCACUCAAUACUAGCAUGGCUUCUGUGGCAUUUUGAUGAGUAGUAUGGGCUCCACACUGAAAUAUUAAUAUCUUAUUGUUUUGAUGAUGAUGAUGAUGUUCAUUGGCCCAGGGCAAAAGGUAAAGGUUGUGUUAUAAAGCUGAUCUAUUCAAUAUCUGUGGAUGUUAACUCCACCCCAUCCCCUUAUUGAACAAUUACGAUGCCUAUAAAUAUUGUAUUGAGAAAGAAAAAAAAAACUAAGGCAGAAGAUAUCAUAUUACCUGUCCAUAUGUGACAUUUUGGCUGGCCAAGCCAUAAUGGCCAAAGAGGAGCAACUGUCAAAAUUUAAGUGGGGUUAGAAAAGAAGAGAGGAACUUGCACGUUUGCACCUACAAGGACCCUCUUUUCUCCUCUGGUAGCCAUGGAAACCACUCCUUGGACCUCCUUUCAAGAGACUCUGCAUGGGGAGCACAGUUGACUGACAGCUCCAAUUGCUGCUCCUUCGAGUCCACCAUGGCACUCAUGCCCACGCAAUGUUUCCUCCAGGGUUCUCCAGGUAGAGAUGGAGCAGGUGGGGUUGCCAGAGGCAGGCCAUCAGGCCAUCUUGACUGAUGUGGGACUUCUAAUGCUUCCAGGUCUGAAGGCUCACCUGCCACUUCCUGCUCCCUCCUCCUUUACCCUUCACAGGAGUUUCCUCCCCAUAAAUUUCUUGUGUAUCUAGUCCUGUCUUGGCAUCAGCUUCUUGGAGGACUUGAACUGAUAUGCACUCAACAGCCAGUAAAUCCUGCUAAUUCACAAAAUCCUUGAUUAUCAGUACUAAAGAAAGACACUGGGGGUGAAGAUGUCAUCUUCUAAAAGACUUACUGGGGAUAAUCUACCACCAAAUGUAGGUGGCAAAUGCCAUCUUUGAUCACAUAAUGGAAUCAAUGAAGGAGGUUAUUGAUCUGGUUCAGAGGUGACUUUAGAAUGUCCCAAACCCUUUAAAUAUGUGUGUAUUGAGUAUGUGUGCAAUUCUCCUUGAAGAACAUUUAUACCUUUCAUCUCAUUAAUCUACAAAAUUAUCAGCAGUGGCAGCUAAUUGUCAGUUAACUAGGUAGUUG